rnacentral:lncRNA from 1 species
AGAAAGUCUUAGUUGGGCACGGACCCAACACAUGGGAUAUAGGCACAUCAAAUCAAAUUUUGACAACACAUAAACAAUGAUUUUUAAAAAAAAAAAAAUGAAAAAGUGUUUCUUGUUCUUCCAUUGUUUCUUUCUUUUCUCCGCUCUUCCGUCUUCUCUUCUUUCUCUUCCAUUGUUUCUUUUCUAGAUCACAGCAACAUCCUUACCUUCUCAACAUGUUUUCUCCAUUACAUCUUCAUUUUCGUUUUCAUCGUCAUUAAUAUAAAAAAACAGCAAAAUCUAACUAAAAAAAAGGAGUCUAUUUCAAUUUUUUGACAAAUUUUUUGCAUCAUGCUAAGCAAAUCGAGGGACAAUACGAGAACGAGAUGCAAAAGAGAUUGCAGACUCGGUUCCAUCUUCACUACAGUUUUCGUCUUCUUCGAGAUGCAGAAUUGAUUCCAUCUUCACUAGAUCUUAUUUUUUCCAAUCUUAUUUUUUUUAUUUAAUUGUGUUGUUGCUGUUUAAUUUUUUUUUUGUUGAUUUUAUGAAAUUUUGGUUUUUCUUAUUGAGAUUGGAGAUAGCUCCAGGAGAAGGUUGAUUAAAGGGAGAUAUGUUUUUUGAUUUGUUUGGAAGAAAUGGAAACAUUUUGGUUGUUGGAGUGAUUUGGGAGAAAGAAGACGGAAGAGUGAAUACUGAGGGAGAGAGAAGAAAAACACUUUUUCAUUUUUUUUAUAAAAAAAAUCAUUGUUUAUGUGCUGUCAAAAUUUCAUUGCAUGUGCCUAAAUGCCAUGUGUUGGGUAUGUGCCCAACUAAGACUUUCUC